rnacentral:rRNA from 1 species
GAGUGCGCGUGCCGUAGCAAUACGGUAUGGCGCACGGCGCACGGGUGCGUAACACGUGGGCAAUCUGCCCUCCGGUGGGGAAUAACCCCGCGAAAGCGGGGCUAAUUCCGCAUAACACUCCCUGGACUCCGGUUCGGGGAUUCAAAGCAGUGAUGCGCCGGAGGAGGAGCCCGCGCCCGAUUAGCUAGUUGGUGAGGUAAUGGCCCACCAAGGCAAUGAUCGGUAGCCGGCCUGAGAGGGCGCACGGCCACACUGGCACUGAAACACGGGCCAGACUCCUACGGGAGGCAGCAGUGGGGAAUUUUGCACAAUGCCCGAAAGGGUGAUGCAGCAACGCCGCGUGAGGGAUGAAGGCCUUCGGGUCGUAAACCUCUUUCGAUCGGGAAAAACGGGCGCGUGAAGAGCGCGUUCUGAUGGUACCGGAUGAAGAAGCCCCGGCUAACUACGUG